GCCAGACUCCUACGGGAGGCAGCGGUGGGGGAUAUUGCACAAUGGGGGGAACCCUGAUGCAGCGACGCCGCGUGGGUGAAGGAGCGUUUCGGCGCGUAAAGCCCUCUCGGCAGGGAAGAAGGAGGACGGUACCUGACUAAGAAGCCCCGGCUAACUACGUGCCAGCAGCCGCGGUAAUACGUAGGGGGCAAGCGUUAUCCGGAUUUACUGGGUGUAAAGGGGGCGCAGACGGCAGCGCAAGCCAGGAGUGAAAGCCCGGGGCCCAACCCCGGGACUGCUCUUGGAACUGCGCGGCUGGAGUGCAGGAGGGGCAGGCGGAAUUCCUGGUGUAGCGGUGAAAUGCGUAGAUAUCAGGAGGAACACCGGUGGCGAAGGCGGCCUGCUGGACUGCGACUGACGUUGAGGCCCGAAAGCGUGGGGAGCAAACAGGAUUAGAUACCCUUGUAC
rnacentral:rRNA from 1 species